CGGCGGCUGUUCCAAGCUGUCUCUAUGCAGCGUUAAAGACCACGUGACACCGACGUACCAAAGCGUUUGGUUUACGCUUGUACGGCCUUCGACGCCGGAAAUGACAGCACACAUACAUCUGCCCGAUGUCGGUUUCAGAUCAGCAUGGAAUCCUCCCAUAUAAUAAUGUCGCAGGGUAUCGGCCUGAAGUCGCUUCCAUCAGGCAGCCAGGCACGUCAGAUCAGCCUCCUGGAGCAGCGACUUUCAGGAGAAGAACCUGAUUUUUGGGGGAACAUUUUCUAACAGCAUUUUUUCAUC